rnacentral:rRNA from 1 species
CAGUAGCCGCGGUAAUACAGAGGGUGCGAGCGUUAAUCGGAUUUACUGGGCGUAAAGCGUGCGUAGGCGGCUAAUUGAGUCGGAUGUGAAAUCCCCGAGCUUAACUUAGGAAUUGCAUUCGAUACUGGGAAGCUAGAGUAUGGGAGAGGAUGGUAGAAUUCCAGGUGUAGCGGUGAAAUGCGUAGAGAUCUGGAGGAAUACCGAUGGCGAAGGCAGCCAUCUGGCCUAAUACUGACGCUGAGGUACGAAAGCAUGGGGAGCAAACAGGAUUAGAUACCCCUGUAGUCCCUGUCUCUUAUAC